rnacentral:lncRNA from 1 species
ACUUUCCUCAGUAGAUUGCCUUGUCCACCAGAGUGACCUGAAGAUUGGUGAUGGUCUCUCUCCACUUAGAACAAUCCUGCACAUUCAGAGUAUUUCUCACUAGGCACCUGCUAGCACUGGACAGUAUAGUUAGUCUAUGAAGGGCAGAACAGCAUAAAAUAAGCAGAAUUACAAGUUUGAUUAUCAAACUCUCAUUGCUGUCACUCCAAUCAACAACCUUUUGAAGAAGUGCGGAUCUCUCAUUCAUGAGUAUGGAAACUCAGAGAAUUGUGAUGCCUACCAACAUGUUAUGAUGCAGCAAGAAGGCUCUCACCAGAUGGUGGCAUCUUUAUAGUGGACUUUUCAGCCUCCAGAACUAAAGAACAUAUUGCAGAAAAACAGAAUACUUAUUUUAAUCAAUAAUCUAGAG